UACAGAGGGUGCGAGCGUUAAUCGGAAUUACUGGGCGUAAAGCGUGCGCAGGCGGUUUUGUAAGCCAGGUGUGAAAUCCCCGGGCUCAACCUGGGAAUGGCAUUUGGGACUGCAAGGCUGGAGUGCGGCAGAGGAGACUGGAAUUCCUGGUGUAGCAGUGAAAUGCGUAGAUAUCAGGAGGAACACCGAUGGCGAAGGCAGGUCUCUGGGCUGACACUGACGCUCAUGCACGAAAGCGUGGGGAUCAAACAGG
rnacentral:rRNA from 1 species